GGUGCUUCAACCGGACUCCUGGGAACUAACACUAAUGAUGCAGGCGAUGAUUUUCCUUUACCUGAUGGAUCUCAAGCUCAGACACUGGAGGAUUUCUUCCAUGGCUGGAAGCUAAAUUCAAGCUGCACUAAAUACACAGAAACAAAAGAGCGAAGUUCCCAAGCCGCCAUGAGGGCUGCCAGCUGUGAAUCUCUGUUUUCUUCCCCUGAUUCUCUCCUCAGUUCCUGUUUCAGGGUGGUGGAUCCCGAUCAGUUCCUGUCUGUGUGUAAGCGGAGCUCCUCCAAAGCCCCCUGCAGGUUAGCGGCGGCGUUCGUUCAUCUCUGCCAGGAAAACUACAUUCCUCUGGAGAUCCCAGGCCCGUGCCUGGAGACCUGAAGAACCCGACUGAAGGAGGAUAAUCUGCAACCUUCUGUAUAGGAAAAAUACAUUUUAUUUUAUAUUCAAUUCAAAGUAUUUUAAUGUGCUGGUAUAUUUUAUAUGAUGAUUUUAACCAAUAUUGGAG